rnacentral:misc_RNA from 1 species
AAGAGACAGCAGUUCCGGCAACAGCCCCACAAACAACUUGCUGGCUCACAGUAAGAGGGACUCCAGGUUCAGACCUCAAGAAUGCCUCUGUUUGACCUCUCACGGUGAAGAGCAGAGCAUUAAAGGCUGCAACAGUGGCAAGUGGGGCUCCCAUGCCUUUGAACAGCCCCCCGGCACCUUCCGCAGCUAAUGUUUGCCGGACAGCAUCUAUAGCACCAGAAUAUUUUGGAAGCUGCCCUGGAAGUGGAGUAGGCUGG